GCCUUUUCAUGGUGGAGUUCCUAGGUAAAGCCUGGAAGGUAUCUGAAAUAAAUCAUCAAAAGCCAUUUGAACUACCUGGAGGUGAUAUUCUUUUGACCUAAUUGGCAUCUACAAGUCAUUCACCCUACAUAUAAAGGGUGAGAAAGGCUGAGAAAUUUAAAAGCGUGAGUGAAAACAGAUUUGGAGUGAAGUGCCUACUUGGAGAGGUGCUGGAAGAGGAAUGGCAACAGCGGUGAAACUGAAUGAAUACUGGUGCCUGUGAGCAGAUUUUUGAGAAAGCAGUUGCAACUGUCGCUUUGAAGCAGGUGCCUUGUCUCCAAUUCUCACCUCCUUCUUUCCAGGAUCUAAAAUGGUUUCAUACUGGAGCAGUCUGAGGAAACACUAUUAUACUCUUAUUCAAUUGAACUCUGAAUGACAGAUCUCUGAAGACCAGCUCCUGAAAAGUCUGAGAUUGUACAUGUGGCUUGAUUGUAUUCCUGUUGGAAGAGCUGCUGGACCACAAUACCCUCCCACCCAAUUUUGCUUGCUGUUUUCACCUUGACCUAGUCAAUUCCCAGUCUUUAUUUAAAUCUUACCAACCCUUCACAUCCCUGUUCAAAUUUCCUUAUUCUGAGUAAGUAUGGAUAGCAUCCUUUUUGCAAAGCUUUUUGAAUUGUAUUUCGUGUACUUCUGCAUCUCUCAUAGCAUUUCUCACCUUGUGAUGCAGUUUUUUUCUACUAUUGGUGUGUAAAUAUUGUCACACUCUUUGGUCCACCUCCCUGACUCUAUCACAGCUCUUAGAGGGAAUCUGAAAUUUCUUUGUUUUUCUGUGAUCUCUAGCAUACUAUCUUGUACAAGUAAGAUAAUCAAUAAAUAUUUAUUAAGGAAAUGAUAAA